rnacentral:rRNA from 1 species
UGAAGAGUUUGAUCAUGGCUCAGAUUGAACGCUGGCGGCAGGCCUAACACAUGCAAGUCGAACGGUAACAGGAAGCAGCUUGCUGCUUUGCUGACGAGUGGCGGACGGGUGAGUAAUGUCUGGGAAACUGCCUGAUGGAGGGGGAUAACUACUGGAAACGGUGGCUAAUACCGCAUAACGUCGCAAGACCAAAGAGGGGGACCUUCGGGCCUCUUGCCAUCAGAUGUGCCCAGAUGGGAUUAGCUUGUUGGUGAGGUAACGGCUCACCAAGGCGACGAUCCCUAGCUGGUCUGAGAGGAUGACCAGCCACACUGGAACUGAGACACGGUCCAGACUCCUACGGGAGGCAGCAGUGGGGAAUAUUGCACAAUGGGCGCAAGCCUGAUGCAGCCAUGCCGCGUGUAUGAAGAAGGCCUUCGGGUUGUAAAGUACUUUCAGCGGGGAGGAAGGUGUUGUGGUUAAUAACCGCAGCAAUUGACGUUACCCGCAGAAGAAGCACCGGCUAACUCCGUGCCAGCAGCCGCGGUAAUACGGAGGGUGCAAGCGUUAAUCGGAAUUACUGGGCGUAAAGCGCACGCAGGCGGUCUGUCAAGUCGGAUGUGAAAUCCCCGGGCUCAACCUGGGAACUGCAUUCGAAACUGGCAGGCUUGAGUCUUGUAGAGGGGGGUAGAAUUCCAGGUGUAGCGGUGAAAUGCGUAGAGAUCUGGAGGAAUACCGGUGGCGAAGGCGGCCCCCUGGACAAAGACUGACGCUCAGGUGCGAAAGCGUGGGGAGCAAACAGGAUUAGAUACCCUGGUAGUCCACGCCGUAAACGAUGUCUACUUGGAGGUUGUGCCCUUGAGGCGUGGCUUCCGGAGCUAACGCGUUAAGUAGACCGCCUGGGGAGUACGGCCGCAAGGUUAAAACUCAAAUGAAUUGACGGGGGCCCGCACAAGCGGUGGAGCAUGUGGUUUAAUUCGAUGCAACGCGAAGAACCUUACCUGGUCUUGACAUCCACAGAACUUUCCAGAGAUGGAUUGGUGCCUUCGGGAACUGUGAGACAGGUGCUGCAUGGCUGUCGUCAGCUC